GAGAGUGCAGAAACUAGGAGUGUAGAGGGAGUUGCAUCCAAGUAAAUGUACAACAUCAUUAUGCUGGCUCGUCCUGGUGGCAAGACUGUUGUCUUGGGACUUGAAGAUGGUAUAGUUUCCCUGCAUGAUGUAGAAGUUUGGAUCUUCAUGUUAAAGUGGAAGCAAUUCGGUCCGAGGUUGAGAUCCUAUCGGUGUUGAUU